rnacentral:rRNA from 1 species
CCUANGGGAGGCUGCAGUGGGGAAUAUUCCGCAAUGGGUUAACGCCUGACGGAGCGACGCCGCGUGGAUGAUGAAGGUCUUCGGAUCGUAAAGUCCUGUAGAGUGGGAAGAUGGGUCAUCGUAAGAUGACUUGACAGUACCGCUAAAGUAAGCUACGGCAAACUCUGUGCCAGCAGCCGCGGUAAUACAGAGGUAGCAAGCGUUGUUCGGAAUGACUGGGUGUAAAGCGCAUGUAGGCGGUUUUGUAAGUUGAAUGUGAAAUACUUUGGCUCAACCAAAGAAAGGCAUUCAAAACUGCAUUACUUGAGUACGGAAGAGGAAAGUGGAAUUUCUGGUGUAGCGGUGAAAUGCGUAGAUAUCAGAAGGAACACCAGUGGCGAAGGCGACUUUCUGGUCCGUAACUGACGCUGAGAUGCGAAAGCUAGGGGAGCAAACAGGAUUAGAUACCCCGNUANUC